rfam:Cavia porcellus supercont2_4 genomic scaffold, whole genome shotgun sequence.
GGGGAUUUAGCUCAGUGGUAUAAGCACCUGCCUUGCAAGCAGGCAGUCAUGAGUUCUGUUUAACACAAUUUCCU